CCAAUAGCGUAUAUUAAAGUUGUUGCAGUUAAAAAGCUCGUAGUUGAAUUUCGGGGUUAGUAGGUUGGUCAUGCCUCUGGUAUGUACUGGUCUCACUGAUUCCUCCUUCCUGAUGAACCGUAAUGCCAUUAAUUUGGUGUUGCGGGGAAUUUGGACUGUUACUUUGAAAAAAUUAGAGUGUUUAAAGCAAGCUAACGCUUGAAUACAUUAGCAUGGAAUAAUGAAAUAGGACGAUCGAUCCUAUUUUGUUGGUUUCUAGGAUUGACGUAAUGAUUAAUAGGGAUAGUUGGGGGCAUUAGUAUUCAAUUGUCAGAGGUGAAAUUCUUGGAUUUAUUGAAGACUAACUACUGCGAAAGCAUUUGCCAAGGAUGUUUUCAUUAAUCAAGAACGAAAGUUAGGGGAUCGAAGACGAUCAGAUACCGUCGUAGUCUUAACCAUAAACUAUGCCGACUAGGGAUCGGAUGAUGUUAAUUUUUUAAUGACUCAUUCGGCGCCUUACG
rnacentral:misc_RNA from 1 species